UACGUAGGGUGCAAGCGUUGUCCGGAAUUAUUGGGCGUAAAGAGCUCGUAGGCGGUCUGUCGCGUCUGCUGUGAAAACUCAGGGCUUAACCCUGAGCUUGCAGUGGGUACGGGCAGACUAGAGUGCGGUAGGGGAGACUGGAAUUCCUGGUGUAGCGGUGAAAUGCGCAGAUAUCAGGAAGGAACACCGGUGGCGAAGGCGGGCUCUGGCG
rnacentral:rRNA from 1 species